AUGGGUUGGUAAUCUGUGGUGUUAUUUUACUUUCUAACAAAGAAUUCAUCUUGCUUGUCCUCUGGGAACACGGUAUCUUCCUAGGGAAAAAGUCUGCUCUCAGAGAGAAGAGUACUGGUGUUGUAAUGGAGCGGACAAUAUUUAAGCACCUGACCUGGCGAUCUAGAUACAGCCCGUUUCUUCUAUUUGCAAAGCUGAAAGCUCAAGAUAAAACUACCACUGAAUUUCUCAAACCGGUCCUUGUCCCUUGGGCCUCUGUGCCGCACUCCGGAGAUUAUCAGGGCAAGAUAUUCUCCAUAUGUUGGACAUUUUGUCUCAGCAAUGAGAAAAGUAACUGAGACAGAGCCACUCACUAUACCAUCUUGGAAAACCCUGAUUCCCACCUCCGCAUGUCACUGGGUCUGGUCAGCGCUCCCAGGGUACCGUUAGAAAAGCCUUUGAAGACGGAGCUGUUUCAUUCUCCAAGAGGGUGGAGCUUCCUGCUCUGAGUACUUGGAACUUGACCUGUUCCAAAGCUCUGCCAUACAGGCCUUCAGUACUGCAGAUCUGAGACAUAAAGACUACAUAUCACAGAA